rnacentral:tRNA from 1 species
CGGGGCAUAGCUCAAUUGGCUAGAGCGCCUGGUUUGGGACCAGGAGGCUCUCGGUUCAAGCCCGAGUGCCCCGA